rnacentral:rRNA from 1 species
AUUGAACGCUGGCGGCAGGCCUAACACAUGCAAGUCGAACGAGUGGCGGACGGGUGAGUAAUGUCUGGGAAACUGCCCGCUUGAGGGGGUUAACUCCUGGAACCGGUAGCUAAUACCGCAUACCAUCGGAUGUGCCCCGAUGGGAUUAGCUAGUAGGUGGGGUAACGGCUCACCUAGGCGACGAUGCCUAGCUGGUCUGACAGGAUGACGAGCGAGACUGGAACUGAGACACGGUCCAGACUCCUACGGGAGGCAGCAGUGGGGAAUAUUGCACAAGGGGCGCAAUCCUGAUGCAGCCAUGCCGCGUGUAUGAAGAAGGCCUUCGGGUUGUAAAGUACGUUCAGCGGGGAGGCGUUACCCGCAGAAGAAGCACCGGCUAACUCCGUGCCAGCAGCCGCGGUAAUUC